rnacentral:misc_RNA from 1 species
AGUAUUGUUGGCCGGACCAGUAAGUCGAGGACUACUGCAUCUAAUCCCGUUUGCCCCACGCUUUCGUGCAUGAGCGUCAGUACAGGCCCAGGGGAUUGCCUGCCACUGGUGUUCUCCGCAGCAUCGCCGCAUUUCACUGCUACACGCGGAAUUCAUCUCCUUCGCUGGUAAUUUCAGCCUUGCAGUCACAAAUGCAGUCCCCAGGUUGAGCCCGGGGAUUUCACAUCCGUCUUGCAAAGCCGCCUGCGCACGCUUUACGCCCAGUAAUCUGAUUAACGCUCGCACUUACGUAUUACCGCGCUGCUGGCACGUAGCGUUGGCCGGUGCUUAUUCUUCAGGUACGUCAUCCUCCCGAGGUAUUAACCCAGAAGAUUUCUUCCUUGACAAAAGCAGUUGAUAACCCGAAGGCCUUCUUCCGCACUGGCAUUGCCGGAUCAGGCUUGCGCCCAUUGUCCAAAUACCGCUGCUCCUUGCAGGUUCAUUGACUUAUCAUAGACUGCUAAGCAAUACGUAACUGAACGUAAAGUACAACUUACGUAUUGCUAGUAACAGAGAGUUCGAUUCUGGCUCAGAUUGAACGCUGGCGGGAUGCUUACACAUGCAAGUCGAACGGCAGCACGGACUUCGGUCUGGUGGCGAGUAAGGUGAACGGGUGAGUAAUGUAUCGGAACGUGCCUAGUAGCGGGGGAUAACUACGCGAAAGCGUAGCUAAUACCGCAUACGCCCUUCGGGGGAAAGCGGGGGACCUUCGGGCCUCGCACUAUUAGAGCGGCCGAUAUCGGAUUAGCCAGUUGGUGGGGUAACGGCUCACCAAGGGGCGACGAUCCGUAGCUGGUUUGAGAGGAUGACCAGCCACACUGGGACUGAGACACGGCCCAGACUCCUACGGGAGGCAGCAGUGGGGAAUUUUUGGACAAUGGGGGAAACCCUGAUCCAGCCAUCCUGCGUGCGAUGAAGGCCUUCGGGUUGUAAAGCACUUUUUGGCAGGAUAAGAAACGGCACGGGAUAAUACCCCGCAACUGACGGUACCUGCAGAAUAAGCACCGGCUAACUACGUGCCAGCAGCCGCGGUAAUACGUAGGGUGCAGCGUUAAUCGGAAUUACCGGGCGUAAAGCGUGCGCAGGCGGUUCGGAAAGAAAGAUGUGAAAUCCCAGAGCUUUAACUUUUGGAACUGCAUUUUUAACUACCGAGCUAGAGUGUGUCAGAGGGAGGUGGAAUUCCGCGUGUAGCAGUGAAAUGCGUAGAUAUGCGGAGGAACACCGAUGGCGAAGGCAGCCUCCUGGGAUAACACUGACGCUCAUGCACGAAAGCGUGGGGAGCAAACAGGACGAGCAUUCAGCCCACGCCCUAAACGAUGUCAACUAGCUGCUGGGGCCUUCGGGCCUUGGUAGCGCAGCUAACGCGUGAAGUUGACCGGUCGGGGAGUGCGGUCGCAAGAUUAGAACCUGUGCGAAUUGACAGACCGGCAUGGCGGAGAUGACGUGGACUAAUUCGAUGCAACGCGAAAACCUUACCUACCUUUAUGCGGCCUGAAUCCCGAAGAGACUGGGGAGUGCUCGCAAGAGAACCGAACACAGGUGCUGCAUGGCUGUCGUCAGCUCGUGUCGUGAGAUGUUGGGUUAAGUCCCGCAACGAGCGCAACCCUUUAUUGCUACGCAUGCGAAAGGGCACUCUAAUGAGACUGCCGGUGACAAACCGAGGAAGGUGGGGAUGACGUCAAGUCCUCAUGGCCCUUAUGGGUAGGGCUUCACACGUCAUACAAUGGUCGGGACAGAGUGGUCGCCAAUCAAGAGGAGCCGUAAUCCUGAAACCCGAUCGUAGUCCGAUCGGCAGGUUCAGAAUUGACUGCGCAGAAGUCGGAAUCGCUAGUAAUCGCGGAUCAGCAUGUCGCGGUGAAUACGUUCCCGGGUCUUGUACACACCGCCCGUCACACCAUGGGAGUGGUUUACCAGAAGUAGUUAGUCACCGUAAGGAGGGCGAUUACCACAGAGCAGAUUCAGGCGACUGGGCAGCCCACACAGCAA